rnacentral:rRNA from 1 species
UAUGGGUUAGUAAAAUGGGAAAAGGGGGACCUUUUUUUUAAGGUUUUUAAUUGCUCAGAACGAACGCUGGCGGCAGGCUUAACACAUGCAAGUCGAACGCCCCGCAAGGGGAGUGGCAGACGGGUGAGUAACGCGUGGGAACAUACCCUUUCCUGCGGAAUAGCUCCGGGAAACUGGAAUUAAUACCGCAUACGCCCUACGGGGGAAAGAUUUAUCGGGGAAGGAUUGGCCCGCGUUGGAUUAGCUAGUUGGUGGGGUAAAGGCCUACCAAGGCGACGAUCCAUAGCUGGUCUGAGAGGAUGAUCAGCCACAUUGGGACUGAGACACGGCCCAAACUCCUACGGGAGGCAGCAGUGGGGAAUAUUGGACAAUGGGCGCAAGCCUGAUCCAGCCAUGCCGCGUGAGUGAUGAAGGCCUUAGGGUUGUAAAGCUCUUUCACCGGAGAAGAUAAUGACGGUAUCCGGAGAAGAAGCCCCGGCUAACUUCGUGCCAGCAGCCGCGGUAAUACGAAGGGGGCUAGCGUUGUUCGGAAUUACUGGGCGUAAAGCGCACGUAGGCGGAUAUUUAAGUCAGGGGUGAAAUCCCAGAGCUCAACUCUGGAACUGCCUUUGAUACUGGGUAUCUUGAGUAUGGAAGAGGUAAGUGGAAUUCCGAGUGUAGAGGUGAAAUUCGUAGAUAUUCGGAGGAACACCAGUGGCGAAGGCGGCUUACUGGUCCAUUACUGACGCUGAGGUCGAAAAGGAG